UACGAAGGGGGCAAGCGUUGCUCGGAUUUACUGGGCGUAAAGGGUGGGCAGGCGGCCGUGUCAGAUGGGUGUGAAAUCUCCCGGCUCAACCGGGAGGGGCCACUCGUGACUGCACGGCUGGAGGGCAGCAGAGGCGCGUGGAAUUCCGGGUGGAGUGGUGAAAUGCGUAGAGAUCCGGAGGAACACCAGAGGCGAAGGCGGCGCGCUGGGCUGCACCUGACGCUGAACCACGAAAGCCAGGGUAGCGAACGGG
rnacentral:rRNA from 1 species